AAAUUGAAGAGUUUGAUCAUGGCUCAGAUUGAACGCUGGCGGCAGGCCUAACACAUGCAAGUCGAGCGGUAGCACAGAGAGCUUGCUCUCGGGUGACGAGCGGCGGACGGGUGAGUAAUGUCUGGGAAACUGCCUGAUGGAGGGGGAUAACUACUGGAAACGGUAGCUAAUACCGCAUAACGUCGCAAGACCAAAGUGGGGGACCUUCGGGCCUCAUGCCAUCAGAUGUGCCCAGAUGGGAUUAGCUAGUAGGUGGGGUAAUGGCUCACCUAGGCGACGAUCCCUAGCUGGUCUGAGAGGAUGACCAGCCACACUGGAACUGAGACACGGUCCAGACUCCUACGGGAGGCAGCAGUGGGGAAUAUUGCACAAUGGGCGCAAGCCUGAUGCAGCCAUGCCGCGUGUGUGAAGAAGGCCUUCGGGUUGUAAAGCACUUUCAGCGGGGAGGAAGGCGGUGAGGUUAAUAACCUCACCGAUUGACGUUACCCGCAGAAGAAGCACCGGCUAACUCCGUGCCAGCAGCCGCGGUAAUACGGAGGGUGCAAGCGUUAAUCGGAAUUACUGGGCGUAAAGCGCACGCAGGCGGUCUGUCAAGUCGGAUGUGAAAUCCCCGGGCUCAACCUGGGAACUGCAUUCGAAACUGGCAGGCUAGAGUCUUGUAGAGGGGGGUAGAAUUCCAGGUGUAGCGGUGAAAUGCGUAGAGAUCUGGAGGAAUACCGGUGGCGAAGGCGGCCCCCUGGACAAAGACUGACGCUCAGGUGCGAAAGCGUGGGGAGCAAACAGGAUUAGAUACCCUGGUAGUCCACGCUGUAAACGAUGUCGAUUUGGAGGUUGUGCCCUUGAGGCGUGGCUUCCGGAGCUAACGCGUUAAAUCGACCGCCUGGGGAGUACGGCCGCAAGGUUAAAACUCAAAUGAAUUGACGGGGGCCCGCACAAGCGGUGGAGCAUGUGGUUUAAUUCGAUGCAACGCGAAGAACCUUACCUGGUCUUGACAUCCACAGAACUUUCCAGAGAUGGAUUGGUGCCUUCGGGAACUGUGAGACAGGUGCUGCAUGGCUGUCGUCAGCUCGUGUUGUGAAAUGUUGGGUUAAGUCCCGCAACGAGCGCAACCCUUAUCCUUUGUUGCCAGCGGUCCGGCCGGGAACUCAAAGGAGACUGCCAGUGAUAAACUGGAGGAAGGUGGGGAUGACGUCAAGUCAUCAUGGCCCUUACGACCAGGGCUACACACGUGCUACAAUGGCAUAUACAAAGAGAAGCGACCUCGCGAGAGCAAGCGGACCUCAUAAAGUAUGUCGUAGUCCGGAUUGGAGUCUGCAACUCGACUCCAUGAAGUCGGAAUCGCUAGUAAUCGUAGAUCAGAAUGCUACGGUGAAUACGUUCCCGGGCCUUGUACACACCGCCCGUCACACCAUGGGAGUGGGUUGCAAAAGAAGUAGGUAGCUUAACCUUCGGGAGGGCGCUUACCACUUUGUGAUUCAUGACUGGGGUGAAGUCGUAACAAGGUAACCGUAGGGGAACCUGCGGUUGGAUCACCUCCUUA
rnacentral:rRNA from 1 species